UCGAUCUCAAAUCGUCUUCGACACUAGCAGUACCAAAUUUUCUGGGUUUGACAAAGAUAUUGGUUUUCAAACAAAAAUGGCUAAAACGGAAACAAUUAUAUAUAUUUUUAUGCUCAAUUUCUCUAAAGCUUAAGCACAAACCACUCACUAUUCCUUCGAGUUCUUCAUAAGACCUUUUCAGCUCCAACUUUGUUCUCCCAGUUACGCAAACAUGGCAGAACACGAAACGAAAAAGAAGAUAUCAUCAACAUCGUCGAUAAUGCCAGACUGGUCUCAUCUCCCUGAUGAGCUAUUGCCUCUUAUCUCGACGCAUUUAGAAGAGGAGAACUGUUUCGAUGUAAUUCAUGCUCGCUCUGUUUGCAGCUUGUGGCGAUCCUCAUUUCCCUUUCCUUCUUCCCUACUACGCCCAAGUUACUCUCUUCCCGAGUACUCGCGACACAGAGAUCCUAAAGGAAUGCUCACCCUCGUUCCUCUUUAGAGUCAAAACUCCUCCUGUUUCUGAUGAUGCGUCGUCUUCUGAGUAUUAUCUGGGAGGAAUAGGCCGACAUGAGUCAGAGGAGGAUCAUAUGGAGUGGAGCUUCCUCUUCAGUGCUCAGUGAAAGUCAAGAUUCCAGGAACUGUGCCAACCUUGAUGAACAUGAUCGACUGCCAGAUCAUCCCUCUGGGACAUGAGUACAGAAUGAUGGGUCGGCCUCUUAGUUGCGCGGCUUUUCUUCCGCUAGACAAGGAGCGAGGAGGAGGAGGAGCAUUCGUUGUGCUUGUCACAUACUGUCUCUGGUUGUUGGUGUUAACAAGUGCUGAAAUGAGGUGGAAGCGGCUUAGUAACAUCCCAGGUGCUUUAUCCGGGGAUGUAGUCGCUUUUAGAGGCAGGUUUUAUGCAUCUUGUUCUUCCUGUACUACUUUCGUCAUCUAUCCUUAUUCGCUCGAGGUGACUCUUCUGUCUCACGUACCCGUACCUCAGGAAAUACACUAUCUGGUUCCAUGUGGCGAUGAUGAACUUUUCCUAGUUGAGGGAACCUACCCAGGUGUUGGUGGAUUAGAUUUAGAUAUUAGUCAGUUAACAUUUAGAGUAAUGUAGGCUUGAUGAGGAGGCUGGUACAUGGGUUGAGGUCAAUAAUCUGGGAGACCGUGUCUUGUUUAUUGGUGGACGCUCGAGAAAUUUCUCUAUCUCAGCUAAGGAGCUUCCUCAUAGUUGUGGUUUAAGUGGGAACUCGAUUUUGUUCACCAAUCUGCGAGGCAAUGUAACUUUCGCCUUUAAAUAUGGAGUACAUACAGGAAACGCGGGAGACAAUCUCAAUUGUUGGAGAUCCUCAAGGGAGAAUCGUGUGAUGAUCCUCAACAAAUUUGCUCCGGUCGUGGCCUUCCAGGUUGAACGCUGGGCUGUAAAUUUUCGCUUUGGAUACCUGUCAUUUCGUUUUAAUUAGACGAAAGACUAUGUUUUCCUUUGAUUCUGUAGUAUCCGAUGUUAGCCAUUUGUACUGGAGACUAGAUAAAUGGUAGUAGUUGUUUAAUAUUUACUUUGUUUUAACUA